UACGUAGGUGGCAAGCGUUAUCCGGAAUUAUUGGGCGUAAAGGGAGCGUAGGCGGAUAUUUAAGUGGGAUGUGAAAUACUUGGGCUCAACCCGAGAACGGCAUUCCAAACUGGAUAUCUAGAGUGCAGGAGAGGAGAGUGGAAUUCCUAGUGUAGCGGUGAAAUGCGUAGAGAUUAGGAAGAACACCAGUGGCGAAGGCGACUCUCUGGACUGUAACUGACGCUGAGGCUCGAAAGCGUGGGGAGCGAACAGG
rnacentral:rRNA from 1 species